rnacentral:misc_RNA from 1 species
CAAUUGAGCAUCAGAAUUCAAAGCAUGACGAUGAAAUUUGUCAGACUUUGACCCGGCAGAACAAUAGUGAUAUAGAGAAUAAUUGUAUUGUGUUUCCUGGAUGCUUGGCCAGUUGUUCUGCAGAAAUGCAAUUGUCAGAAGCUGGAAACUACCACAAGGACACGUCAAGUUCACCUAAUAAAAAUGGUGAAUUCUUGCGUCUGGAUGAUUCAAGGGACAAUGCAGUAAAUGAGCAAGCUGCAUUGGCCACAUCAAGUGAGAAUGACCAUUGUGGGAACCAUUUGCCUACAUGCUUUGAAGAGCGGAGGACAACCAUAAAUGGAAAACCAGGUGGAUUUGUAACUUCUCAUUGUUGUUACGAAGGGCACAAGAAAAAUUAAAGCACAAAGGAUCUGAAGCCUAGGUGCUACAUGCAAGGGUAUGCCUGAUAGAGAUGAGGAAUGGAACAAUAUUGUUAAUGUGAUGGAGAGUUCAGUGUAAUUUCUGUUCUUCUUAGAAGUUUUUGCUGUACUGCUUUUAUAUUAUUGCUGUGAACUGAUCAUAUACAGAUAUGUCCCUUUCAG